rnacentral:rRNA from 1 species
GCGAUAACGAACGAGACCUUAACCUGCUAACUAGCGACGCUAACCUUCGUGUUGGUGGCCCGCUUCUUAGAGGGACUGUCGGCGACUAGCUGACGGAAGUUUGAGGCAAUAACAGGUCUGUGAUGCCCUUAGAUGUUCUGGGCCGCACGCGCGCUACACUGACGAAGCCAGCGAGUGUACAACCUUGGCCGGAAGGUCCGGGUAAUCUUGUUAAACUUCGUCGUGCUGGGGAUAGUCCAUUGCAAUUAUUGGACUUGAACGAGGAAUUCCUAGUAUGCGCGAGUCAUCAGCUCGCGUAGAUUCUGUCCCUGCCCUUUGUACACACCGCCCGUCGCUAAUACCGAUUGAAUGGCUA